rnacentral:rRNA from 1 species
GACGAACGCUGGCGGCGUGCUUAACACAUGCAAGUCGAACGAAGUGGCGAACGGGUGAGUAACGCGUAAUCAACCUGCCCUUCAGAGGGGGACAACAGGUGGAAACGACUGCUAAUACCUCAUACUGAAGGAGGGGAUUGCGUCUGAUUAGCUAGUUGGCGGGGUAACGGCCCACCAAGGCGAUGAUCAGUAGCCGGGUGGAGAGGGUGAACGGCCACAUUGGGACUUGGACACGGCCCCGACUCCUACGGGAGGCAGCAGGGGGGAAUCUUCCGAAAUGGACGAAAGUCUGACGGAGCAACGCCGCGUGAGUGAUGACGGCCUUCGGGUUGUAAAGCUCUUUUAAGCGGGACGCGGUACCGGAAUAGAAAGCCACGGCUAACUACGUGCCAGCCGCCGCGGUAAUUC